AUGUCCCUGCUGCUGAACAACCCGGACGCGAUGGCGAGGGCUCGCGGCGAGAUCGACGCGUGCGUGGGGCAGCCGGCGCGGCUGCUGGAGGCGGCCGACCUCCCCAAGCUGCACUACCUCCGGUGCGUCAUCAUGGAGACGCUCCGGCUGGGCCCCGGCGAGGGCUCGCGGCGAGAUCGACGCGUGCGUGGGGCAGCCGGCGCGGCUGCUGGAGGCGGCCGACCUCCCCAAGCUGCACUACCUCCGGUGCGUCAUCAUGGAGACGCUCCGGCUGUACCCGCCGGUGCCGCUCCUCGCGCCGCACGAAUCGUCCACCGACUGCGACGUCGCCGGCUUCCAC
rnacentral:lncRNA from 1 species